rnacentral:lncRNA from 1 species
UGUCGAACAGCGCCGAGAAGUGGAACAGUGCCUCUCUGAACCGCGUCACGAAGAAGGGCGCGCUGAAGGCGCCGUUGACCACCCCGUGGAUGAACACGGCCGGGUUCAUCUUCCUGAUGUUGUUCAGCACCGUGUUCCGGGGGCUGUCCACCACCACCGUCUCGUCGAUCAGGUUCCUGAACCUGUACAUGCAGUUGACCACCAGCACCUCCUCCGGGUCGAUCCUCAGGUCCUCCACUCGGAUGGCCUCCCACUUGGCCCCGAUCGGGAAGUACUCCAGCUCCACGUUGAACUUCCUCGCGUACUCCUCCAGCCGC